UCAGAGACUCAAGAACUCUUCGUCGAUGCCACCUUUAAAACACGGCCUCACCACGAUAUCUUUUCUCAACUGUUGAACAUCAUUGUCAUCUACAAAGAUUACUAUGUCGCAGUGAUGCAUGUCUUAAUGACAUGCAAGGAGCAAGCACUCUACGGCCAGAUCAUGGAGCGGUUCAAAGCUUUGGUUGGAUCGGACUUCAAGCCAAAAAGUGUGAUGUCGGACUACGAACGGGCGAUCCUGAACACCAUGCAAACUGCCUUUCCGGAAUCGAGAGUGUCUGGAUGCAGAUUUCACUUCAGCCAAGCAGUUCUCCGGAAAGUGUGUGCUCGCAACAAGGAGGAUUUCUAUAAAAAUGUUGAGUUUAGGAAUCUGAUGCUCAAACACAUGGCCCUAAGCACUCUACCGGCGAACCAAAUGGUACCGGUAUUCCAACAGCUGAAGCAAGAAGUGCUCCACUUACAACCACUCAGGCUCCGGAAGCAAGUCCAGAUAAUGCACAGGAAUUACUUCUUAAAGUGGUGGUUCCAAGGCAUCGGGCCCCAGCUGAUCUCUACGUACGGUCUUGCACAUAAGACCAACAACGUCUGCGAAAGUCUCCAUAAGAAAAUGUCUUUAAAGCUGGCAAAGGCGUCGACAAUCUAGAGAUUCCUCUCAGAUCUGAGGAUGUUCGUCAUCGAGCCAGCAAAGAUCGAUG